AGUGAACGCUGGCGGUAGGCCUAACACAUGCAAGUCGAACGGCAGCACAGUAAGAGCUUGCUCUUACGGGUGGCGAGUGGCGGACGGGUGAGGAAUACAUCGGAAUCUACUUUUUCGUGGGGGAUAACGUAGGGAAACUUACGCUAAUACCGCAUACGACCUACGGGUGAAAGCAGGGGAUCUUCGGACCUUGCGCGAUUGAAUGAGCCGAUGUCGGAUUAGCUAGUUGGCGGGGUAAAGGCCCACCAAGGCGACGCUCCGUAGCUGGUCUGAGAGGAUGAUCAGCCACACUGGAACUGAGACACGGUCCAGACUCCUACGGGAGGCAGCAGUGGGGAAUAUUGGACAAUGGGCGCAAGCCUGAUCCAGCCAUACCGCGUGGGUGAAGAGGGCCUUCGGGUUGUAAAGCCCUUUUGUUGGGAAAGAAAAGCAGCAGGUUAAUACCCCGCUGUUCUGACGGUACCCAAAGAAUAAGCACCGGCUAACUUCGUG
rnacentral:rRNA from 1 species